rnacentral:lncRNA from 1 species
CAGAGCUCAGAUGAGACCCAAGUCCAGGGUGCAGCCUGGAAGUCUGAUUCCAGAGGAACAAAGAGACAAAUACCAACGUGGAUUCUGGCAGAGGGGAACAAUGCAGGUGCCCAGUGAGUAAAACUGGGGCACAAGAGGAAGGUUUAAUUACCGGAAAAAGAUAGCAGAUAUACUGCCCCAUGGUUCAGAGACACAGAUACAGCGUGCACCAAUGGCCUCAUGGGGAAUUCCCUAU